rnacentral:rRNA from 1 species
CCUACGGGUGGCAGCAGUGAGGAAUAUUGGUCAAUGGACGCAAGUCUGAACCAGCCAUGCCGCGUGCAGGAAGACGGCUCUAUGAGUUGUAAACUGCUUUUGUACGAGGGUAAACGCAGAUACGCGUAUCUGUCUGAAAGUAUCGUACGAAUAAGGAUCGGCUAACUCCGUGCCAGCAGCCGCGGUAAUACGGAGGAUUCAAGCGUUAUCCGGAUUUAUUGGGUUUAAAGGGUGCGUAGGCGGUCGGAUAAGUUAGAGGUGAAAUCCCGAGGCUCAACUUCGGAAUUGCCUCUGAUACUGUCAGGCUAGAGAGUAGUUGCGGUAGGCGGAAUGUAUGGUGUAGCGGUGAAAUGCUUAGAGAUCAUACAGAACACCGAUUGCGAAGGCAGCUUACCAAGCUACUUCUGACGUUGAGGCACGAAAGCGUGGGGAUCGAACAGGAUUAGAUACCCGGGUAGUC